UACGUAGGGCGCAAGCGUUGUCCGGAAUUAUUGGGCGUAAAGAGCUCGUAGGCGGUUUGUCGCGUCUGCUGUGAAAACCUAAGGCUCAACCUUGGGCUUGCAGUGGGUACGGGCAGACUAGAGUGCGGUAGGGGUGACUGGAAUUCCUGGUGUAGCGGUGGAAUGCGCAGAUAUCAGGAGGAACACCCGUAGCGAAGGCGGCACUCUGGGCCGGAACUGACGCUGAGGAGCGAAAGCGUGGGGAGCGAACAGG
rnacentral:rRNA from 1 species